UUGGGUUUUAUUUAAAGAAAUUAAUUAAUUUUGAAAUUUCGUUUUAGGAAUUGGGAUAUGUUGAUGAGCGUGAUGAUUUUUCGUAAUCGGUUUCUAAAAUUAUUCAGAAACGAGUUUCUAAGAUUAUUCAAAUCGGA